UCUGCUUGGUGGGCAAGACCAUUGAUCAUCAGAAAAAUGGAGAUGGGCACAAAGGAAUAGAGACCAGAAACCACACGGACCUGGGGAGAUGGAGGGACUUUAGCUCCACAUGGUUUUCCAGCUCCUGGUCCUGGUCUCUUUUUAAGCUACAGCUGUGUUUUAAGCCUAUGAGGUCUGUGAGGUCCAACUGGAUCCUUCCGGUAAUUUUCCAAAUGGGGAUCAGAAAACUGAAGGUGAGAGACUUGGGGCAUUCUACAAUCAGUUUUUGUAACUUCUGCUCACUUAAUCUACAACCUAAACCCUACGAAAGCCAAAUCACACACCUAAGACGCAUCUUUCUACAAAUGAGAUCUGCUGACCGCUGACCAGCUUCAAGAAGAUGAAGCCCCAAACUGCAGUGGCAUGAGGUUUCAUAUGUCAGUCAAAGGCAGUCAAAGACAUUUUAAAGUACAUGACAAGACAAGAACCACUGUGAACAUCAUUUAAAACUCCAAAACCCACCCAAAAGACAUGGAUAUAGUCAAUGAUAGGUGUCAAGGUGUAUUCCCAGACAUGAAGAACAGUUGAGGAGGAUGAGCCCUGCUUGAUGGAUCAGAAAAGGGACUUCAAAUAUCUGAAGCCAAGCUGUUUCUCGUGCUUCUUGAUUUGUCCAAAACAACAGAGUGAAAUAACCCACAUGUGUGGCAGGAGGCUGUCCAUUAAAUUUCUGAUAA